UUGGAGGGCAAGUCUGGUGCCAGCAGCCGCGGUAAUUCCAGCUCCAAUAGCGUAUAUUAAAGUUGUUGCAGUUAAAAAGCUCGUAGUUGAAUUUCGGGAUCAAUUUGCCGGUCGAGACCUCUGGUACGUACUUGUAUUAUUGAUUUCUUUUUAUUCUGAUAAAUCAUGGAUGUCAUUAAUUUGAUGACUAUGAGGAAUCGAAACUUUUACUUUGAAAAAAUAGGGUGUUUAAAGCAGGCUUAUUAGGCUUGAAUACAUUAGCAUGGAAUAAUGAAAUAGGACGAUUAAUUCUAUUUUUGUUGGUUUCUAGGAUUAAACGUAAUGAUUAAUAGGGAUAGUUGGGGGCAUUAGUAUUCAAUUGUCAGAGGUGAAAUUCUUGGAUUUAUUGAAGACUAACUACUGCGAAAGCAUUUGCCAAGGAUGUUUUCAUUAAUCAAGAACGAAAGUUAGGGGAUCGAAGACGAUCAGAUACCGUCGUAGUCUUAACCAUAAACUAUGCCGACUAGGGAUCGGAUGAUGUUAAUUUUUUUUAAUGACUCAUUCGGCGCCUUACGGGAAAC
rnacentral:rRNA from 1 species